rnacentral:rRNA from 1 species
AUUGAACGCUGGCGGCAGGCCUAACACAUGCAAGUCGGACGGUAGCACAGAGAGCUUGCUCUUGGGUGACGAGUGGCGGGCGGGUGAGUAAUGUCUGGGGAUCUGCCCGAUAGAGGGGGAUAACCACUGGAAACAGUGGCUAAUACCGCAUAACGUCGCAAGACCAAAGAGGGGGACCUUCGGGCCUCUCACUAUCGGAUGAACCCAGAUGGGAUUAGCUAGUAGGCGGGGUAAUGGCCCACCUAGGCGACGAUCCCUAGCUGGUCUGAGAGGAUGACCAGCCACACUGGAACUGAGACACGGUCCAGACUCCUACGGGAGGCAGCAGUGGGGAAUAUUGCACAAUGGGCGCAAGCCUGAUGCAGCCAUGCCGCGUGUAUGAAGAAGGCCUUCGGGUUGUAAAGUACUUUCAGCGGGGAGGAAGGCGACGCGGUUAAUAACCGCGUCGAUUGACGUUACCCGCAGAAGAAGCACCGGCUAACUCCGUGCCAGCAGCCGCGGUAA